AGUGAACGCUGGCGGUAGGCCUAACACAUGCAAGUCGAACGGCAGCACAGUAAGAGCUUGCUCUUACGGGUGGCGAGUGGCGGACGGGUGAGGAAUACAUCGGAAUCUACUUUUUCGUGGGGGAUAACGUAGGGAAACUUACGCUAAUACCGCAUACGACCUACGGGUGAAAGCAGGGGAUCUUCGGACCUUGCGCGAUUUCAUGAGCCGAGGUCGGAUUAGCUAGUUGGCGGGGUACAGGCCCACCAAGGCGACGAUCCGUAGCUGGUCUGAGAGGAUGAUCAGCCACACUGGAACUGAGACACGGUCCAGACUCCUACGGGAGGCAGCAGUGGGGAAUAUUGGAAAAUGGGCGGAAGCCUGAUCCAGCCAUACCGCGUGGGUGAAGAAGGCCUUCGGGUUGUAAAGCCCUUUUGUUGGGAAAGAAAAGCAGCAGGUUAAUACCCCGCUGUUCUGACGGUGCCCAAAGAAUAAGCACCGGCUAACUUCGUG
rnacentral:rRNA from 1 species